GACGAACGCUGGCGGCGUGCUUAACACAUGCAAGUCGAACGGAAAGGCCCUGCUUGCAGGGUGCUCGAGUGGCGAACGGGUGAGUAACACGUGGGUGAUCUGCCCCUUACUUUGGGAUAAGCCUGGGAAACUGGGUCUAAUACUGGAUAGGACCAUGCUGUAGGUGGUGUGGUGGAAAGAUUAGUUUCGGUAAGGGAUGAGCUCGCGGCCUAUCAGCUUGUUGGUGGGGUAAUGGCCUACCAAGGCGUCGACGGGUAGCCGGCCUGAGAGGGUGGACGGCCACAUUGGGACUGAGAUACGGCCCAGACUCCUACGGGAGGCAGCAGUGGGGAAUAUUGCAAAAUGGGCGCAAGCCUGAUGCAGCGACGCCGCGUGGGGGAUGACGGCCUUCGGGUUGUAAACGCCUUUCAGCCAUGACGAAGCCCUUGUGGUGACGGUAGUGGUAGAAGAAGCACCGGCUAACUACGUG
rnacentral:rRNA from 1 species